CCGGAGGGGAGGGGGCCGUCAAAUCCACGCCACGGCGGAUUCCUCUAAGAGCAAAGGAGCGCCCCUCCGUCGUGAGAAGCCGGGGUCGUGCCUGCCCUUGCUCCUUGGGGCUCAUGGGAAACGUAGUCCGAAGGGCGUGGCGAUGCGCUCGGCGCAGGCGCGGGGCGGGCCUGGGCGGUGUCGUCAGGGCAACGCGCGGGGGAGCUGGCGCAUCCCGCGGAGGCUGGCGGGGCGGCGGCGCGUCACUUCCGGAAGUGGCCUCGCGGCGCCGGGCGACGGCGUAGAGCGCGAGCCUGGCGGGGCGAGCCGCGGCGAGGCCUUUUCCGCCCCUUGGGGCGUGGAGUCGCCUUCCGGAACCCGGCCCGCCCUGUCGUCCUUCUCAGGAGCUCUGGUCCCCCAACCGCCGGGUCUGCACAGGUCCCUCUCGGCGGCUCCAAGAAGACACCCUGCGACAAGAUGCCAUCCCCACUGGGUGCCCCGCCCCUGUCCCUCGCGAACCCUGACACCGCGCGUGAGGAGCCUGAGGCUGCACGCCUGCGCUUCCGGGGCUUCUGCUACCGGGAGGUGGCGGGUCCCCGAGAGGCCCUGGCCCGGCUCCGAGAGCUGUGUCGCCAGUGGCUGCAGCCGGAUGUGCACUCCAAGGAGCAGAUGCUGGAGCUGCUGGUGCUGGAGCAGCUCCUGGGCGCGCUGCCCCCCGAGAUCCAGGCCUGGGUGCAGGCUCAGCGACCAGGCAGCCCCGAGGAGGCUGUGGCCCUGGUUGAGGGGCUGCAGCGUGACCCUGGGCAGCUGCUGGGCUGGAUCACAGCCCACGUCCUGAAGCAGGAGCUGCUCCCUGCAGCCCAGAAGACAGAGGAGUCCUCGGGGAGCCCCCGCCCCUCAGGGACAGUGGAGCCCCCUGGGGCGGCCCUUGGGGAGGGUCCGCAGGACGCCAGGAUGCAGAGGUCUGCCCAGCUCAGCCACAGUGUGAAGGAGGAGCCUGAUGCCGAUGGGCAGGAGCUGGCACCCCACAGCACCCUGCUUCCAGCCCAGUCCCCUAAGGGGCACCUUGGACAUGGAGAACAAGCCUCCACAUCCAGGAUUCAGGUGAGCAGCUCCGCCCCGGAAGGAGAGUGCAGGCCCAGGUGCAGGCGGGCGUGGCCUGCUCCUGCCUUCUGCUCUCCCAGGUCCUCAGCCAGUGGUCCAGGUGCAGGGGGGCGUGGCCUGCUCCUGCCCUCUGCUCUCCCAGGUUCUCAGCCAGUGGUCCAGGUGCAGGUGGGCGUGGCCUGCUCCUGCCCUCUGCUCUCCCAGGUUCUCAGCCAGUGGUCCAGGUGCAGGCGGGCGUGGCCUGCUCCUGCUCUCUGCUCUCCCAGGUCCUCAGCCAGUGGCCCAGGUGCAGGCGGGCGUGGCCUGCUCCUGCCCUCUGCUCUCCCAGGUCCUCAGCCAGUGGCCCAGGUGCAGGCGGGCGUGGCCUGCUCCUGCCCUCUGCUCUCCCAGGUCCUCAGCCAGUGGCCCAGGUGCAGGUGGGCGUGGCCUGCUCCUGCCCUCUGCUCUCCCAGGUCCUCAGCCAGUGGCCCAGGUGCAGGCGGGCGUGGCCUGCUCCUGCCUUCUGCUCUCCCAGGUUCUCAGCCAGUGGUCCAGGUGCAGGUGAGCGUGGCCUGCUCCUGCCCUCUGCUCUCCCAGGUUCUCAGCCAGUGGUCCAGGUGCAGGUGGGCGUGGCCCGCUCCUGCCCUCUGCUCUCCCAGGUUCUCAGCCAGUGGCCCAGGUGCAGGCGGGCGUGGCCUGCUCCUGCCCUCUGCUCUCCCAGGUUCUCAGCCAGUGGCCCAGGUGCAGGUGGGCGUGGCCUGCUCCUGCCUUCUGCUCUCCCAGGUUCUCAGCCAGUGGCCCAGGUGCAGGUGGGCGUGGCCUGCUCCUGCCUUCUGCUCUCCCAGGUUCUCAGCCAGUGGCCCAGGUGCAGGUGGGCGUGGCCUGCUCCUGCCCUCUGCUCUCCCCGGUUCUCAGCCAGUGGCUCUUGUGCUGUUUGCUGCCCAGAAGUCAGGAGCAGCAGAACCCCCAUUCCCCCCCACCCCAGUCCUAGAAGUAAAGAGGCGAGCACUGUGGAGGGUUCAGGCCUCAGCCCAGGGAAGCCCAGUUGAGUGGCUGGGACUGGUAGGCGUGGCUUCCUCAGCUCUGGAGAAGCCAGUCAGGAGGUCUGCGGCUCAGGGCUGGCACCCGGGGAUUUGAAUGUGCAGGUACAGGGGGCAGGGGACGUGGCAACCAGCUGCAACCUGACUCCCACACACCUGAGAUCACAGUGGAGACAUACGACUUGGGAGACCUGAGUCCUCUCUCUCCAGGGGCUGGCCUGUGAGCUCAGCUCUAGGCCUGUGCAACCUCAAGCUCUUGGAUUCUGGAGAUGGUCGUGGGGCCUUGUCCUCCCCCAGCUCCUCUGCUCUGAGCUGUUGCACCUAGGCGUCCCCAGCAGGGUUGCUGCUGACUUGGAGGCUGUGAAGGGCCUCCCCGUGGCCUGCUGGCAGUCAGCAGUGUGAAGUGGGCUGAGCAGGCGGCCCCUGCACAGCAUCUGUGCGUCUGGACAGCACCCUCCCCGCCGGGGGUGAGCAGAGGCUGCUGCCUCUGAGCCUGCUCCAGUUUCUCCAGAAUUAUUUUUGUCAACCCAGCAGGUCCCAGGGUGAUAGGAGUUGGGACCUGCAGAAAAGCGGACCUCCUGGGGAGGAAGUCCCACUGCUCGGUGAAGGCAGUGCAGGUGCCCCCAAGCUCACUCGGUCCAGGCCCCGGCCAAAGCUGCGCACAGGAGCCGGCAGCACUGACCCCUGCACCGCCUCUGCCCCCACUGUCACUCCUCUCCCGUGAGGCCCAGGGUGCCUUGUUGCGCCUCCUAAUCUGGGCCUCCAGGAAGGACGUUCCUGUAGCCAGAGCUGUGACUGGAUCUGUGGCCGUCCCCUGGCCUUUUGCUCUCCCUCAGCACCCACUGUCCAGGGCACAAUGGCCACGUUCCCUGCCAGGCCUCCCCAGGGCCCACCCGCAGUUUCAGUGUGUUGAGCCAGAAUGUGGGGUGGAGCAGCGGAGGGGGCGGGGGCUGCUGGGCGAUAAGCAUGUCGCCGGCACCCACAAGUACCCAUCCGACUUCUCCUUUUGCUUGCCUGGUAACGAGUGAGGACGUGGUGACGGGCAGCGUCCCUGCAGGAGUGGGGGCUGCUGGGUGAUAAGCAUGUCGCCAGCGCCCAGAAGUACCCAUCCGACUUCUCCUGCUUGCCUGGUAACGAGUGAGGACGUGGGGGUAGGUGGGCAGGACGUGCCCGUGGUGACGGGCAGCGUCCCUGCAGGAGUGGGGGCUGCUGGACCCUCUGCAGAAGGAGCUGUACUGGGAUGUGAUGCUGGAGAAGUACGGCACUGUGGUCUCGCUGGGAUUACCGCCUCCCCAGCCUGGGCCGCAGCACCUGGAGUCAGAGGUCCGUGGAAGCCACCGCCCAGGUGAGCAGUCCUGCCUGCAGGAGGGGAGGAGCUUGUGCCACUCCACAGGUCUGGAGGAGAGGCAGAGUGGACAGUGUGAGAGAGAGACAGAGAGAAAGGUCUUCCUUUUGCCGUUGGUUCACCCUCCAAUGGCCGCCGCGGCCGGCGCGCUGCGGCCAGUGAACUGCGCUGAUCCGAUGGCAGGAGCCAGGAGCCAGGUGCUUUUCCUGGUUUCCCAUGGGGUGCAGGGCCCAAGCACUUGGGCCAUCCUCCACUGCACUCCCUGGCCUCAGCAGAGAGCUGGCCUGGAAGAGGGGCAACCGGGACAGAAUCCGGCGCCCCGACCGGGACUAGAACCCGGUGUGCCGGCGCCGCUAGGCGGAGGAUUAGCCUAGUGAGCCGCGGCGCCGGCCUCUAACUGCCUUUUAAAUAAAAUAAAUCUUAAAAAAAAUGGCUACCUCUCUGUUGCAAAUUCUGGGACCCAAAGACCCAGGUUUGAAUUCCCACUUUCCCCUAAUCUCCAGAAAAUCAGGAUACUUUUUUUAUCUGUAUUUAUUUUUAUUUUGACAGGCAGAAUUGGACAGUGAGAGACAGAAAGGUCUUCCUUUUUCCAUUGGUUCACCCCCCAAAUGGCUGCUACAGCCGGCGCUGCACCGAUCUGAAGCCAGGAGCCAGGUGUAGGGCCCAAGCACUUGGGGCAUUCUCCACUGCCUUCCCGGGCCACAGCAGAGAGCUGGACUGGAAGAGGAGCAACCAGGACAGAAUCCAGUGCCCCGACUGGGACUAAAACCUCGGGGUGCUGGCAGUGCAAGCAGAGGAUUAGCAUAGUGAGCCACGGCGCCGGCAGGAUACUUUUUUUUUAAUAUAAACAUUUAUGUUAUUUGAAAGACAGAGUCACAGAGUGAGUGAAAGACAGAGAUACCUUCCUUCUGCUGGUUAACUUCCCAGCAGAAACUGGCAGGGCUGGGCCAGACCAAAGCCAGCAACCAGAACUCCAGUCAGGUCUCACACAGGUGAGGGAGGCUCAAGCACUUAGGCCAUUCUCCACUGCUUUUCCCGGGUGCAUUUCAGGGAGCUGGAUUGGAAGUGGAGCAGCUUGGACUCAAACCGACACUCAUGGGUUGCUGGGUGUUGCAGGUUGUGGCUCAACCUGAUGCGCCACAAUGCCGGCCCAAGGUACUUUUUAAUAAAAGAUUGAUAUAUUUAUUUGAAAUAAUUACAGAGAGGGGCCAGCACCUGCAGUGCUGGCAUCCCAUAUGGGCGCCAGUUCGAGUCCUGGCUGCUCCACUUCAGAUCCAGCUCUCUGCUAUGGCCUGAGAAAGCAGUAGAAGAUGGCCCAAGUGCUUGGGACUCUGCACCCGCGUGGGAGACCUGGAGGAGACUCCUGGCUCUUGGCUCCGGAUCGGUGCAGCUCCGGCCAGUGUGGCCAGUUGGGGAGUGAACCAGCAGAUGGGGGACACCUCUUUCUCUCUCUCUCUCUGCCUCUCCUUUUCUCUCUGUGUAACUAUGACCUUCAAAUAAAUAAAUAAAUUUUUAAAAGAAAAUUACAGAGAGAGGGAGAGACAGAGAAAGAUCUUCUAUCUGCUGGUCCGUUCCCCAGGUAGCUGCAACAGCGAGGGCUGGAGUAGGCAGGAGCCAGGAGCUUCAUCCAGAUCUUCAUGUGGUGGCAGGGACCCAAACACUUGGGCCACUAGCAGGGAGCUGGAUCAGAAGUGAGGCAGCCAUCCCACUCCUUGGAAUUUGCCCAAAGGAAAUUAAAUUGGCAAAUAAAAGAGCUGUCUGCACCUCAAUGUUUAUUGCAGCUCAAUUCACAAUAGCUAAGACAUGGAAUCAACCUAAAUGCCCAUCAACAGUAGACUGGGUAAAGAAAUUAUGGGACAUGUACUCUAUAGAAUACUAUAUAGCAGUAAAAAAAAAAAAAAAAACUGAAAUCCAGUCAUUGGCAAUGAAAUCGGAGGAAUCUGGAAAACAUGCUGAAUGAAAUAAGCCAAUCCCAAAGGGACAAGUAUCAUAAGUUCUCCCUGAUCGGUGACAACUAACUGAGCACCUAAAAGGAAACCUGUAGAAGUGAAACGGACACUAUGAGAAACAGUGACUUGAUCAGCCCUUUUGCCGACUGUCGAGGAACACUUACUACUUUAUUCCUUUUAGUAUUUUUUUUUUUUGUUCUACUUAAUACUAUUGAUUGAACUCUUUAACACACAAUUAUUCUUAGGUGUUUAAAUUUAACUGAAAAGUCAUCCCUGUUAAAUAUAAGAGUGGGAAUAAGAGAGGGAGGAGAUGUACAGUUUGGCACAUGCUCAAUCUUACUUGCCCCAAACGGUAGAGUUAGAAACGUGCCAGGGAAUUCCAAUUCAAUCCCAUCAAACUGGCAUGUGCCAAUGCCAUCUUACUAAAGUGAUCAGUUUCAGUUUAUAAUUGAUCAUAACUAUAGGAUUAAGUGUCAAAACGAUUACAUAAAUAAGACCAGUGUCUGCUAAUACUAACUGAUAGAAUUAAAAAGGAGAGAACAAUCCAACAUGGGAAGCGGGAUACACAGCAGACUCAUGGAAUGGCAAAUGCCCUGAACAGCACUCUGGCCUCAGAAUCAGCCCUUAAGGCAUUCGGAUCCAGGUAAAAAGCCUGUGAGAGUUUCUCAGGCAUGGAAAGCCAAGACACUCUGGCAAAAAAAAAAAACCACCAACCAAACAAACAAACAAAAAAACACAAACCCUAAGUGAAUGAUCUCUGUGAGUGAGAUUCCAGUGGAAAGAACAGGGCCAUCAAAGAAGGAGGUACCUUCCUCUGAAGGGAGGAAGAAAUUCCACUUUGACGAUGGCCUUGUCUAAAUAAGAUCAGAGUUGGCGAACUCGAGAGGCUUCCAUAGCCUUGGCAGCUCAUGACAAGAGCCUAGAGCGACUACUGACAUCAUAAAUAAGAGUGUCAAUUGUUAAAUCAACAACAGGCGUCACUGUGCCCUUAUUCCUCAUGUAGGAUCUCUGUCCUUAAUGUGUUGUACUAUGUGAAUUAACAGUAUAACUUGUACUCAAACAGUACUUUACACUUUGUGUAUCUGUGUGAGUACAAGCUGUUGAAAUCUUUACUUAGUAUAUACUAAAUUGAUCUGUACAUAAAGAUAAUUGAAAAUGAAUCUUAAUGAAGAAUGGGAUGGGAGAGGGAGUGGGAGAUGGGAUGGUUGUGGGUGGGAGGGAGGUUAUAGGGGGAAAUCCGCUAUAAUCCAAAAGUUGUACUUGGUAAAUUUAUAUUUAUUAAAUAAAA